AGAGUUUGAUCAUGGCUCAGGACGAACGCUGGCGGCGUGCUUAACACAUGCAAGUCUAGGGGGCCCAGCAAUGGGUCACCGGCGAACGGGUGCGUAACACGUGAGCGACCUACCUUGAGAUGGGGGAUAGCCGGCCCAACGGCCGGGUAAUACCGCAUACGCUCUUCGGGCUUCAUGGCUUGGAGAGGAAAGCUUUAGCGUCUCUAGAGGGGCUCGCGGCCUAUCAGCUAGUUGGCGGGGUAACGGCCCACCAAGGCUAUGACGGGUAGCUGGUCUGAGAGGAUGGCCAGCCACAUUGGGACUGAGAAACGGCCCAGACUCCUACGGGAGGCAGCAGUGGGGAAUAUUGCGCAAUGGUCGAAAGACUGACGCAGCGACGCCGCGUGGAGGAUGAAGCCCUUCGGGGUGUAAACUCCUGUUGCUCGGGACGAAACCCCCUUUCGAGGGGACUGACGGUACCGAGGAGAAG
rnacentral:rRNA from 1 species